rnacentral:rRNA from 3 species
UACGUAGGGGGCUAGCGUUGUCCGGAUUUAUUGGGCGUAAAGAGCGUGUAGGCGGCCAGGUAGGUCUGCUGUGAAAACUCGAGGCUCAACCUCGAGACGUCGGCGGAAACCAUCUGGCUAGAGUCCGGAAGAGGAGAGUGGAAUUCCUGGUGUAGCGGUGAAAUGCGCAGAUAUCAGGAAGAACACCCGUGGCGAAGGCGGCUCUCUGGGACGGUACUGACGCUGAGACGCGAAAGCGUGGGGAGCGAACAGG